GUAAAGCACUUUCAGUCGUGAGGAAGCGGGUACGUUAAUAGCGUAUUCGUUUGACGUUAGCGACAGAAGAAAGCACCGGCUAACUCCGUGCCAGCAGCCGCGGUAAUACGGAGGUGCGAGCGUUAAUCGGAAUUACUGGGCGUAAAGCGCAUGCAGGUGGUUUGUUAAGUCAGAUGUGAAAGACCCGGGGCGUCAACCUACGGAAUAGCAUUUGUAAACUGGCAGACUAGAGUACUGUAGAGGGGGGUAGGAAUUUCAGGUGUAGCGGUGAAAUGCGUAGAGAUCUGAAGGAAUACCGGUGGCGAAGGCGGCCCCCUCGGACAGAUACUGACACUCAGAUGCGAAAGCGUGGGGAGCAAACAGGAUUAGAUACCCUGGUAG
rnacentral:rRNA from 1 species